GAAAUGCGAUAAGUAAUGUGAAUUGCAGAAUUCAGUGAACCAUCGAACCUUUGAACGCACAUUGCGCCCCCUGGCAUCCCGGGGGGCAUGCCUGUCCGAGCGUCAUGCGUCACAUCGGACCCCCCCCAGCUGGGGUCCGGAGUUGGGUGCCCGCGUCGCCCUCGACCCGAGAAGGCGCGGGGCUCAAAAUGAAACCCCCUUGGUGGAAGAUCACCCGGCGGAGCAGAGCGACCGAGGCAUGAUGCCACCGCUCGAAGCCCCGCCCCCCCGAUCGACCCACGUCGGUCGGAGGCACCAACGCAGCGACUGACCUCGGAUCAGGUAGGGAUACCCGCUGAACUUAAGC
rnacentral:misc_RNA from 1 species